AUGUAUACACACAUAGCUCGUGGAGGCCAAAGCCCAAAUUCCCCUCCGCCUAGCCUGACCACUCCGCCCGCUCUUCCUCUCCGUUUUCCCAAGUCCUCGGCGCCGCCGCCCGCCGUCCCCACCAAGCACCACCCGUCCGCCACCGCCACCACCUCCCUCUCCCUCUCCACCCGCGCGCGCGACGCCUCCCCCAGCGCCCCGUCCCCCUCGCUGUCUCCUCCGGCGGACGGGGUCGGCCCCACGGUGCCGAUGCGGGGCGACGUGUACCUGGGACGGCAGCUCGCGGCCGCGGCCGCGGCGGGCGCCCGCACGCGCACGCCGGAGGAGGACGCCGAGAGGCGCCGCCGCCGCAAGGAGAAGCGGAGGGCCCUGGCCAAGAAGAUGCCCUCCGGGGUCGCCUGCUGCUAUGGCUGCGGUGCCCCGCUGCAUACCGGCGAGGAGGGGUCCCCCGGCCACGUCGAGCCCGCCACCUACGACCUGAAGAAGAGGCACAACCAACUGAAGACCGUGCUAUGCAGGCGGUGCAAGCUGCUGUCGCACGGAAGAGUACCACCUUUCUUCAGUGAAGCUUUGGCUGUGGUCUCUCUUGACAUCAAGUCUAACCAAAGCUUCUCCCUCCGGUUAUGCAGGUUGACACGAAAAUCCUCCAAAUCCAGUCCACCAACGGAGGCAAUGAAUCAUCAUUGUGGCCGCGUCGUGUACAAAGGGUCAAGGCUACCCAUGUGUCCAUGA
rnacentral:rRNA from 1 species